CUCUGACCUCCUCCCUAUAGACUGCCUCCUUGUUGUUGGUGAUCAGGCCCACCCCUGUCGUGUCAUCGGCAAACUUGAUGAUGGUGUUGGAGUCGUGCAUGGCCACGCAGUCAUGGGUGAACAGGAAGUACAGGAGGGUACUAAGCACGCACUCCUGAAGGGCCCCCGUGUUGAGGGUCAGCAUGGUGAAUGUGUUGUUGUAGCCGUUGCAUCUAUAUAUGGUAGUAAAAUGUGUCUCCUAUCAGUCCUCUGUGUCCACAUUGCAAAUUAUUUGACAGAUAUUCUUUCAAAAAAACAUUUGAUUUAUUUGAAGACACAUAUUGCUUUCAACUGUCAAUGAUUUUAGAGGAAGGGAUAAUAAUGGUUUAAAUGGUUUCACUGUCCAGAUCCGUCUACAUGUGUAAGAUAUCCAGACACAAUGCGUGUCUGACUAUCUCCGGAGGUGAUUAGGAAAAUCUGAUCAUAAUCAAAUCACAAUGCAUCUUUUAAUCAUCAACACCUGUCUAAAUACGUGGUCACAAUUAGAAUGUGGACAAGAUCAGGACAAAGGAUGGAUUUUAGAACCAGGUAUAAAUGUGGCUAGAGAGAGAGAGAAGAAGAGGUAGAGAGAGAGAGAAGAAGAGGUAGAAAAUAAGAGUUAGAGAGAGAGAGAAGGGGUAGAGAGAGAGAGAAGAAGAAGAGGUAGAGAGAGAGAAAAGAAGAGGUAGAAAAGAAGAGGUAGAGGUAGAAAAAGAGGUAGAGAGAUGUAGAGAGAGGUAGAAAAGAAGAGGUAGAGAGAGAGGUAGAAAAGAAGAGGUAGAGAGAGAGGUAGAAAAGAAGAGAGAGAGAGGUAGAGAGAGAGGUUGAAAAGAAGAGGUAGAAAAUAAGAAGUAGAGAGAGAGAGGUAGAAAAGAAGAGGUAGAAAAUAAGAAGUAGAGAGAGAGGUAAAAAAAGAAGAGGUAGAAAAGAAGGGGUAGAGAUUGAGAGGUAGAAAAGAAGAGGUAGAGAUUGAGAGGGAGAAAAGAUAAGGUAGAGAUUGAGAGGGAGAAAGAGAGGUAAAGAGAGGUAAAGAGAAAAUAAGAGGUAGAGAGAAAUUAAUAGAUUGAAAGUUUCCUUUCACAGUGAUUUGCGAAGCGAAGGGUCCAAGUCCUGGUAACAACCUGAAAGAGGAUGAUAACUACUCACAGAUCCCUGAUAUGCCGGUGCACACGCUCCCGUCCCAGCAGCCACAGUGAAAUGACAUGCUAAAACAGGGGGACAAGGGUGUGAUGCAUAAGGAGGAUACCAGGAGGAUGAGCUGCUUAGAUGUCUGUUGGCCUCCGAUCAGGCUGCCACUCAGAGUGACAGAGGUUGGAAUUCAGUCCAACCUGCCGUAAGUGAUGGGCAUGCAGUGUCUUUGUUUGUAACCUGCUGCCCGCAAACACACACAGUUAUUUUUCUGAAAAC
rnacentral:lncRNA from 1 species